rnacentral:lncRNA from 1 species
CCGAGCUGAGCCCGCAGGAGAAGGAGGACUCGGUCAUCGUGGUGCUGAUCGCCGAGACUGACUCACAGUACACUUCGGCAGUGACAGAGAACAUCAAGGCCUUGUUCCCCACGGAGAUCCAUUCUGGGCUCCUGGAGGUCAUCUCACCCUCCCCCCACUUCUACCCUGACUUCUCCCGCCUCCGAGAGUCCUUUGGGGACCCCAAGGAGAGAGUCAGGUGGAGGACCAAACAGAACCUCGAUUACUGCUUCCUCAUGAUGUACGCGCAGUCCAAAGGCAUCUACUACGUGCAGCUGGAGGAUGACAUCGUGGCCAAGCCCAACUACCUGAGCACCAUGAAGAACUUUGCACUGCAGCAGCCUUCAGAGGACUGGAUGAUCCUGGAGUUCUCCCAGCUGGGCUUCAUUGCACGUGGGCACUCACUCCUCGCUGGCUGGCAAGAUCCAGAAACUGAAGGACAAAGACUUUGGAAAGCAGGCGCUGCGGAAGGAGCAUGUGAACCCGCCAGCAGAGUGGGAACAUCGAGCACCCGGAGGACAAGCUCUUCAACACGUCUGUGGAGGUGCUGCCCUUCGACAACCCUCAGUCAGACAAGGAGGCCCUGCAGGAGGGCCGCACCGCCACCCUCCGGUACCCUCGGAGCCCCGACGGCUACCUCCAGAUCGGCUCCUUCUACAAGGGAGUGGCAGAGGGAGAGGUGGACCCAGCCUUCGGCCCUCUGGAAGCACUGCGCCUCUCGAUCCAGACGGACUCCCCUGUGUGGGUGAUUCUGAGCGAG